rnacentral:piRNA from 1 species
AUUAAACCUGCCAUGUGCACAAAUCUCUC